rnacentral:lncRNA from 1 species
AAUAAAUUGGUUAAUAGUAAUAACAAUGAUUCAAUUUUAUUCUUACCAGUAUCUGUCCUUUAGAAAGGGGCUUAUAAAAGAGAUAGAGGUGAGUAAACUUGAGCUUCAGCUUUCCACAAACACCUUAAUUUGAAGACACAGUUCUCUCAUACUAAAAAAGACAUGGAAGUUUACCUUGUAAUUAGAGAUUUGGUUUCAUUGCUUGUUGUUGGGCUAUUAAUGAUAUGGGGAUGGAGAACUUUAAACUGGGUAUGGCUGGCCCCAAAAAGGCUCGAAAGCUGCUUGAGACAACAGGGUUUUGCAGGGAAUCCUUACAGGUUCCUUUCUGGUGACAUAAAAGAGCUCUUCACUAUGAGCAGACAAACAAGAGCGAAACCUAUGCCUCUUAGUGAUGAUAUUGGGCCUUAUGUUGUUCCUUUUCAACAUCAAACCGCUAACCAGUAUGGUAUGUUUUUUUAUUUAAUCUGCAAUUUAUGAUAAUUCUUUGUUAUUUACGUAUGGAAUUUAUUGGGAGGAAAUGCAGGAAAGAAUUCAUUUACGUGGUUUGGUCCAAGACCAAGGGCGAACAUUACGGACCCUGAAAAAAUAAGAGAAAUACUUAACAAAUUUAAUGACUUCCAGAAGAUACGUACCAAUCCUCUGCUUAAUUUGCUUGUAAGCGGCCUUGUUAACCUCGAAGGAGACCGAUGGAGCAAGCGUAGAAAAAUCAUAAACCCUGCAUUUCAUCAAGAUAAGUUGAAGGUAUAGAAUAGUGAUGGGUAAUCAGACUUUACAGAAAACAUCAUACUUAAACCUAUGCUUUUCUGAUUUAGAAAUAAUUGGAUGCAGAAUAUGUUGCCAGCAUUUUAUCAAAGUUGUAGUGACAUGUUAAGCAAAUGGGAGAAGAUGGUGUGUACAGAAGGAUACAGUGAGUUAGAUGUGUGGCCUUAUCUCGUAGAUUUGACAAGAGAUGUGAUUUCCCGAUCUGCUUUUGGAAGCAGCUUCGAAGAAGGCAAACGAAUUUUCCAAUUACUAGAGGACCAACUCGUUGUCACAAUCAAAUUAAUACAAACUGUUUACAUUCCAGGAUGGAGGUAACCGUCAACUUAGUUUACUUGAAAAUGGUUGCAAAUGUUGGAAUUGGCUAAAUUCGUGUUUGUUUUCUUGAAGGUUUUUGCCAACAAAGACAAACAGGGAGAUGAAGAUGAAACACAGAGGCAUAAAAGAGUCGCUUAGGGAAAUGAUAAAGAGAAGGGAGAAGGCAAUUAAAGCAGGGGAAGAGAGCAAUGAGGACUUGUUGGACAUACUUGUGGAAUCCAAUAUCAGAGAAAUGGAAGCAAAGAAUAUGGGGAUGAGCAUUGAGGAUGUGAUUGAGGAAUGCAAGCUGUUUUACUUUGCUGGCCAGGAGACCACUUCGGUCUUACUGGUGUGGACUAUGGUUUUAUUAGCAAGGUAUCCCGAUUGGCAAAGUAAAGCAAGAGAGGAGGUUUUGCAUGUUUUGGGUGACAGUAAACCUGAUGCUGAUGGCCUUAAUCGUCUCAAAGUUGUAAGUCCCUAGCAUGUCUUUUGAAGGUCCGAUCAAUGAGGUCGACAACUCAAAAACUUUGUUUCUUUUUACGCUAAUUCUACAGGUAACAAUGAUAUUGUACGAGGUUCUAAGGCUGUACCCACCGGUGGUUGAGCUAGGACGUUCCGUUCCAAAAGAAAUAAAACUGGGGAAUUUGUUGUUACCAGUAGGAACAGAAGUUUCGGUUCCGAUCCUGCAGAUCCACCAUGACAAAGAUCUUUGGGGUGACGACGCACGGGAAUUUAAGCCAGAGCGGUUCGCGGAAGGGGUUUCCAAAGCAACAAAGAGUCAAGUCACGUUUCUGCCAUUCGGAUGGGGUCCUAGGAUCUGUAUUGGCCAAAAUUUUGCUUUGAUGGAAGCCAAAAUGGCGAUGGCUAUGAUUCUCCAACGCUUCUGGUUCGAGCUUUCCCCUUCCUAUGCUCACUCUCCUUACAGCAGGGCAACUCUUCGUCCACAGCAUGGUGCACAGAUAAUUUUACAUAAACUUGGCUGUAAUUGAAUUGUUAUGUAAACAAAUCUUUGUGAAAACAUAGCGUUUUAGUGUAUCGUCAAAGUCCGGUAUCUGUAAUGGUACAAAUUCGAUGAAUGAAUAGUAAAUUUUGAGAUGUUUGGUGAAGUCCGAAAUAAUAUGCAGAAAUUGAGCGUCUGUGGUGGACAUAGUUGAGGGACUAAUGUGGUAAUUAUCAAUCAAAUAAUUCGGUACAAAGACUUAUAUGGAAAUUAAAGCAGGGGGAGUUGAAAAUGACUACUCUGCUUUGGGCAUCAAUUUAGAAAGAUUUAAAGUUCAAAUGUGUUAUUAGUUAAGGGAUUUGUUUUAAAGAGGGAAUGACAAUUAAACCUCAUGGUUGAUUUGUGCAAGGAACCGAUGAUGGGAUGAUUAUUCUUAGUGGUAAAAAAAACCAUUAUGGAGGUUAUUACACUUGUUAUCAUCGGCUUAAAAUUCGAUUGGGUUCAGGUCGGAUUAUAUCGAGCUUGUAAGAUAGUUCACCGACCAAGUUUGCAUAAUAAAAUACCUAAAUGAAAAAAAUUUCUAUUUUAGAGGAACCAGAGCCCCUACCAACUCCCGGUUCAACCACUAAACAAUAGCCAUAUCAUAUAAAUAAAUACCACCAUCUAAAAGACUAAAAAAAAACACUUAACAAAGGAUAAAUAGAUAGAUGUUGGAUAAGUGUCCAAAAUAUGAUCUAAGUGAAGAUACGUGGGGUAGGUGUUACGGAAAUGUGAAGACAAGAAUCCCACUAACGUAUGGGAUGUGUACAGUUGAAUGUAGGAAGCUAGUAAAAAAAUUUUUUUGGGUCAUAUAAUUUGUUUAGCAUAUAUUUUUAUAAUUUUUAAAUAUCAUUUUGGAGUUGAAUUAUAAUUUUUUUAUAUAUUAUCUUAAAAUUUUAAGGAGUUAAAACAAAAUUAUUUUAUUUUCAGAUGGUCAAAGUAGAGGUGAUAAUGGGUUGGGCUAUUCGGCCCGGCCUGACGAUUCACCCGAAAAAUAGGAGGGUUUAGGUAAAAAUAUAGGCUCGAAAUAUGGAUUUGAGCAAAAAAAGAGGCCCGUUUAGAAAAUGGGCUAGGCCUCGAGUAAAAUUUUUUGGGCCCAGGCCUGACCUGAAUUAUAUAUUAAAUAUAUAUAUUUUAUUUUUAAUCAAAUAUACUUUUGUUUUAUUAUUAAUUUGGUUAUUAUUUUAGUUCUAAUUUGUUUCAAUUUUAAUAUAACCAGUUUUUAUUAUAUUUUCAAUUUGUGUAUUGUUUUAAGAAUUGUUUUAGUCUCAUUAUUUAUUUAUUUUUUGUUUUAAUAUUUGUUUUAAAAAUUUUUAUUUAAUGAAAUAAGCUAAAAAAAUUAAUAUGGGCUGGGCCAGGCCAGGCUCGGGCCUAGUAAUUUUCUUUUGGGCCGGACUUAGAUAAAUUUUUAAGUCCAUAUUUUGAAUUGGGUCCUAACCUAAAAAAUAGACCUAAAAUUUUAUAUGGGCCCAGCUUGAACCCGACUUGGCCCAUGAUUACCUUUAAGUCAGAGCUAUCCUCGUUUUGCAUUUCUUUGAGAUUCAGCCUUAUCUACUAUUGAUUGCCCUCUCAAUUGAGGUUUGAGUAGAAAGAUUUGGUGAAGCAAGCUAAGCUAUCAAUCAAGGUUUGCAUAAUUAUUUAAAUGUAAUUCUAAUAUUAAAAUAAUUUUUUUUAUUAAUAUAGUAUCAACAAGCAUUAAAUGUAAUGAUCAUAUACUAUUACAUUUUCAAGAAGAGAAAACAUGUUUGAACUUUAAAAACGACGUUACUAAAAACAUUAUCACAAAUCUUGAAAUAUAAAAAAUAUUUUUUUAAAUAUAAUAAAAAAUUAAUUUUAAACCUGAGCUGAAUAAAAUUCUAAUUUUAGUUAAUGAUACCAACAACAAAUCAAUAUUCUAAGCCCGAGCCCGGCUCAUUUUUUUAAUAAACACCAAAAAUUUAUUUUGAAAAUAAAAAAAGUAUUUUAAAAAAAUUUUAAAAUUAAAAGAAUAAAAAUAUAUAUUUAUUAUAUAUUCAGGCCGGGCCGGGCCGGCCCCGGGCCAAAAAAGUGGUGCUCGAGACCCGACCCAUUGUCUAAAUGGGCCUCAUUUUUGCCCAAACCCAUAUUUCGGGCUUAUAUUUUUACCCGAACCUCUCAUAUUUUGGACGGAUCGUCGGGCCGGACCAGGCCGCCCGACCAUGAACACCUCUAGGGCAAAGUCACUCAAUGAAUGCAUGGAAAGAAAGAAUGCAACUUGGUGACAGCUUUUGUUGGAGUUAUAUGCUUUUUUUUACAUAGUGGAACUUUCUGUGGAUUUUCAAGUUUCAUGAACUUUAUACCCUAUGCUUUACGUGAAAAAAAUCAUUGGACUUAAAAGUCUACCAAAAGUUUCACUAUAAUAAAUAAAUAAAUAAAUAAAUAACAUUGCUACAAGACUACAACAUAAAGUUACAAUAAGAGCUUAUAACUCAACAAAGGCUAUCAAUAAAUAAUCUCAAGCAAGCUAAAGAGAAAUGUUGAGAGUACCACUCAAAUAGUGAUUGACUUUAAAAAUUAAAAACCCGAAGUUAUAAUAUCCCAAACGAAAUCAAACCAUAAACAUUAAAUUUUUCGAGUCUACUAGAUACUGUAAAAAAUUCAGCUCCAACGGACACCAAAUGAACCUAUGAUUGAAGAAAAUACGAAAACUAGUCUGGCUAAAUCAAUCUGCCAAACUUACUUUUUAUCUUAUCUUUAAUUUGCUGUGAAAUUCAAAACUACGUGUAAUACCCAAUUUAUGCCCGGCCCAUUUUGUUAAACCAAAUAAAAAAGAAAAGAAAAACAAAAUAUUUAAAUUUAGCCCAAAUGUCCAUUUACACAGCCCAAUUACAAUUGCAAAUAAAAAAAAACUAAAACUAAACCCGAUCCUAAGCAUCAGCCCAAAUUCGACCCAUGCCCAAAACGAAUUCAGAUGCAGAAACCCUAGCCCAGCCUCAACGCAAGAAAAAGUCGGAAGCCCUAAUGGUUGGUGCGCCGCUCCUGUAACAGCCCGAUUUUGGGUCUAGUCGGAACAGUGGUUUUGGGACCACAAAUCCGACGAGAAAAAAAUGUAAUGGCCUGAAUUUUCAGAGGUGUCGGAAUGGUGAUUCGAGAUCACUAAAUUCGAAAAAUGGGUAGAAAAUAUUAUUAAUUUAGUGAGUAUAAGUUAAAUGUGAAGUUAGGAAAAUUUUUGAAAUAGUGAAUAGUACACUAGAAAUAAAUAUUAAAAUAAUUAGAAUCGAAAAUGAGGUAUCGAGACCUCGGGGAUUUUAAACCUAGCCAUAAAUAUUUAUGUAGUGUUAAAAAGUUAGUAUUAAAGUUUCGUUAAGAAAUUUUAAAGUUCCGAUAAUUAAUUGAACAAAAAGGACUAAAUUGUAACAAAUACAAAAUUAUGAGAAAUGAUUAAAUAGCUUAAAUGAUAAAAGGAAGAGGGCUUAAAAGGCAAAUAGACCCAAGGGCUAUUUGGGCUGGACGGCAAAGGCAUGAAAUCAGCAACAAAGUAAGGAGAAUUAAGGGCAAAAUUGGAAUAUUGCAAAAUUUACUUAAUAAAGUUAGGACCAAAGUGGAAUUAUCUAGAUUUCUCUUUAUUUUUCUGCAUUCUCAUUAGCAAAAACACCAUAGAAGGGUUUCCUUAAGCCGGUUCUUCCUAUUUUUACUGCAGAUAAGUUCAAUUCUUGAUUAUUUCUUGAAAAUUUUGUGUUUUUGUGACUUUUACAACUAGGCCCACUUAUUGUAUUCAUUAGUUUUUGAUUCUAUGAAAGAAUUUGAAAGUUGCUAUGAAUACAUGCUGGAAGUAUAUGAUGAUUUAGCAUGGAAUUAGAGCUUUAAAUUGUUCAUAUGCUGAUUUUAUUGAAAGAAUUGAAUAGAAAGUGAAUGUUUGGGACCUAAUAGUAAAAGAGUUUGAAGAUAGAGUUAUAUGUGGAAAUUCUGAGUUUCAAUAGUUGUGAAACAACUUAUAAUGUCUAGGUAAAUUAUUAAUUGAGAAAAUUAAAUUAAUUGAGGGGUUAAUUGAGAAAGGACCGAAUUGUAUAAACUGUGAAAUUUGGGGCAAAAAGGAAAUCAACAUUUUGCACUAAAGCAGUUUUGGACAGCAGCAGUAGUAUAAAUUUGAAAAAUCACCAAAAAUUUUGGGAAUUGAAUUAGAGGGUGAAUAAAAUAUGAAAUUAAAGCUUAUUGAGUCUAGUUUCUUAUAAAGGAAACGGUGUAAGCAAUGGAAUUGUAAAUCAUGAGAUAUAAUAAAUUUUGCGAGACAAUGUCAGAAUGAUUUCGGGUUCCCCUAUUCUGACUUUGGAAAAUCAUUAAAAAUUGAAAAAAAAUUAUGAGUUAUAAUUUAUAUGAUUAGAAUCCUUAAUGAGUCUAUUUUCAAAAUAAAUAAAUGGAAACGUCAUAAAAAUUCUGUACAAUUAGAUAAUUCAUUUUUAGUGAAGAGUGGUCGGAACUGUCAGACAGCAAAACAGGGGAAACUUUAAAGAAUAAAAUGUACUAUUUGGCUGAACCAAAAAUUCUGAAAAUUGUAUGGUAAGAAGGUAUGUGAGUCUAGUUUCAGGGAAAAUUAAGGGAUCUUAAUUUAGAGCUCUGUAGCUCCAGAUAAAAAUAAUUUAGUGACUCUAACUCGGAUAAACAGCUUUGAAUAUACAUGUGAGUGAAUAGUGAAAUUAUAGCUAGUGUUGUUUAAGUGUGUUAUACACAAUAAGGAUGUGGAAUGGAGAGGAGGAGGAGGAGGAAAAAUUGGGAAAUAUAUGAAUGAUUUGUGUAUAAUUGGUCAUAUGCUUAAUUAUAAUUGAUAAACGAUGAAAUAGAAAUGAUGCAUAUAUUUGUGCAGUAUUGGUCAUGGUUUAAGCUCAUGUGGCAAAAUAAAGUUUAUAGUACGGGUGUAUUGUAUUUUUGGUAUAUGAUUUGGCAUUAAGUAAUGUCGUGAAUGGGUAUUGAAUUAACACAUGUUGGAAAGUUUGAUUCAGCACGCGUCGAGCCUCCGCGCCAAAACCACGUGAGCCUUCGUACACUCCAACUGGCCUCCGUACCUGCAACAAACAAAAGUAGACAAAACAACAGCAAAUGAUAGGAAGAAAAGGUAGUAAAUAGUGAAGAUUUUUCUGUAAUUUUCUUUGGAUUUCAUUCUGUAUUUUCGGCUAUAAAAGAGCCAUUAGGAAUAUUUGUAAAGGAGUUUUUUUUUUACCCUCACACACAAAGAGAAUAUACACGCAUACAAGAUCAAUAUAGAGAAAAAAAUAAAAAAAAAUACAAAGAAUAGAAAAUCAAGUUUCGAAGGUGAUUCUUUGAAAAAUCCUUUUCGUUUUUCUCCUUUUUCCUUUUUCCUGGAUCUUUUGUUCAUUUCAAGUAAAAAAAGUAUAAAAAGGAAACAAGUUUAGAGGAAGGAGGUUUACCUGGACGCCGGACCUCGCUCGCCUCGUCGAAAUCGAAGGCUGAGAGGGGAUAAAUCGGUUUUGCGACGGAAGGAAAGGGGGCUAGGGUUCUUCUUUUAAUUUUAAAAAAAAAAUAGAAAAUGUUGCUAAUUAGGUUUUAAUGGGGGGAUUUAUGUGUGUUAAAAAAACGACGUCGUUUAGCGACCUUUGACCCGCGCGGUGACCCGACCCGAGGAAAGGAUCCGCGCGUUUUGGGUCUGAUGGGUUUAUUGCGCAACAAGCCCUUCCGCAUUUGUUUUUCGUUUCAAUCCGGUUUUUAUUUGUUUUUUAAUUGCUCUCUCAUAUUUAGUUCCAAUUUCAAUUGGGUCCAUGAUUAAACGACAUCGUUUUCAUUGAUUGGGUUUGAAGGCCUAGUUUUGUGCGUCUAAAUUGCAGCAAUGGUCCCCCUGAUGUGCAAUGGUUCUCGAUUUAGUCGUCUCCACACUUAUUUCAAAGUCGUCCCUGAGAUUUUGUUUUAUUUUUGAAAUUUUCCUUGUCUUCUUUUAAUUUAUAAUGCUAUUAUUAUUAUUAUUAUUAUUGUUGUUGUUGUUGUUGUUAUUAUUACUAUUAAUAUAGGUAUUGUUAUCGUGUUAGUUUAUAUCUAUUUAUUUACUUUUAUUUUAUUAUGUAUUAUUAUAUAAUGCUUUUAUCAUGUAUCAUUUUAUAUAUUUUCUAUGUUAAUCUAAUAUGAUAUAUAUAUAUAUAUAUGUAUUUUUGUGAUCUUAUUUUAUAAUACUUUUUUAACCCAUUUAUAUGCCUUUAUGUUUUAAAGAUUUAUAAUAUUUUGAGCAAAACUAUUAUAUAUAUAGAUAUACAAUUUAUAUUAGACCAUUUUUAUCGUACAUAUACGUAUAUAUAAUUUAUAUUUUGAAACCCUAUUUUAUUAUAUUUUAUGCCUCUAUAUACAUCAUUAUAUGUUUAUUAUUCUUUAUAUUAAACCUGUCAUUUCACUUAUAUAUUUUUAAAACCAAUAUGUAUUAUUCUUUCUUCCUUGUUAUUUUUUAUCUCUUAAAAUAGAUUGAUAAUUCAUUUAAUUUUUGAAUGUUGUAUGACCGAGAUUAUCGUUGCCAUUCUUGUUCAAAUUUAUCCAUUGCUUGUUCAUAUUAUUUGAUAAUUUAUCGCUCACUAGCAUGUACCGUAAUUUACGAAUUAUCAAUUUGAAUUAUGUACUACCAUUCAAUCGCAUUACAUUUGUUUGGAAAACAUCGAAAUCGUUUUGCACAUAAACCUUCAAAAUGCUCGGUAUCCAAAAUUCUCGAGAGGAUUGUGUCCUAACUUACUAGGCUUCAAUUCUCCUUCUUGAUUUUAAAUAACCGAAUACCCCUUUUUCAAUUUGAACAUAGAAAUUCCAAAAUAAAAAAAAACUCAUUCUCGGGAAUUUGAUGCGUUGUGUCCUAACGUAUUGGAUAUGACAUAUUUUUCUCGAGACGAGGAUUUUUCUAACAAAUAAAAAUAAAGACAAUAUUUGAUAUUUAGGAAUUUUGUGAAAUCGAAGCCUAACUUACUGGGUUUUGAUUUUUUCAUUUGACCCAAGUCGGAUAUCCUUCUCAAAUGCAUAGAUUUUAAAAAAUCAAAAGAUAAACUUAAUUUCGAGGAUUUAAAAUGUUACACUCUAACUUACUAAGUGUGUCAAUUUAUUUCUUUGAAAUAAGUGAGUUUCAUCAUCCAAUUUAUUUUAUUCAAAUAUUCUUUUCCAAGGAUCGUAUUUUAAAAUCUUUUCAAAAUUUCGACAUUAAGACAUUAAACAAUCAAUUCGGUACCAAUUUUGGGCGUCACGAGGGUGCUAACCCUUCCUCGUGCGUAAUCGACUCUCGAACUUGUUUUCUCAAAAUUCGCAGACCUAAAAUUAUUUUCAAGGUGAUCCGAUUACACCACAAUAAAAUAUCGGUGGUGACUCCCAUUCCUAUUUUAAAAGUCGAUUCCCGUUUUUCAAAUAUAAAAAAAUGGUUUCGACACUACGGUUUUGUUUGUUUCACUUAGAACAACUUUCAAAAAGUUAAUUUUGAAAAAUGGAUUGAAUUUUCAAAAUAGAUGAUAUUUUAUUGUGUUAAAAUUUUAUUCGUUGUUUGAAAAAAAAAUUUAAAUCAUUUUCUUAGAAUUAUUUUUAGUGAAACAAAUAUAUCAUAAAUAUAUUUGUUAUAAAAUAUUAUAUUAAUAAUUUUUUUGACAAUUAAAAUAUAUUUUGUGAUAAGGUAAUAUUUUAUAAUAAUUAAUAUCAUAUAUACUUAAUAAUAAAUCAUGUCUAAUUAAAAUUUAAUUUCAAUUAAAUAUAUUAAUAAAGCUACAUUUAAUCAUAUUUUAUAUAAUUAAAAUAUUAAUAUAAAUAUUUUUCAAUAAUAUAUUAAAGAAUAUUUAAAAUUUAAAUUUAUUAUUACUAAGAUUAAUUAUUAAAAUAAAAAUGUACUAUUAAAUAAUUUAUCCAAUGAUAAGUUAUAUUGAUAAUUUAUUAUAUUAUUAAAUAUAAAUAAUUCAAUAUGUAUGUUUAAUAAUAUUAUGUUAUAAUAUUUAUUACUAAUAUUUUAAUAUUUUUAAACAACCAUAUUUUAAAGAUGGUGGUGAUGGUGAUGGUGCAGGCCCCCUUGUUACAAUUACAAUAUUUUUAAGUGGGAUGCAUGUAAUAUAUUGUUAGGGUUUUAGAGUGUGUCGUCUUUAAAAGGGUUAAAUUAUAUAUUUAUAUAAUAUGAUUAUUGUUUAUAAACAUAAUAUUGUAGAUAAGUUUAUAUGUAUGUCAAUAUGUAUCCUACUCUAGGGUUAAUAUGUAUUUUUUAGAUGUGGGUUCACCUAUAUAAUAGUAUGAAUCCAUCAUGCGGUCUCAUGAAAUAUACAAACACAUAUCGUGCUAACACAAAGUACGAACAAUAAAAAGUACAAAUCAAGACCCAAUUGAAUAAUUAAAUAACGGAUAGGUAAUAAUGAAUAUCAUAACAUUCACUAUCCCCUCUUUUCCAGUGAGUUAUUGUUUAUGAUAAAUUUGCAACAAAUGUUUUUAUCAUUAUUUUGUUGGUAAAUGAUAAUAAGCUUAAACUUUACUUUCUUAAGCUCCUUCAAUUCUUUGGACGUUAGCGAGUAAACUUGAGCUUCAGCAUUCCACAAACACCUUAAUUUGAAGACACAGUUCUCUCAUACUAAAAACGACAUGGACGUUUACCUUGUAAUUAGAGAUUUGGGCUCAUUGUUGGGUUAUUAAUGAUACAGGGAUGGAGAGCUUUAAACUGGGUAUGGCUGGCCCCAAAGAGGCUCGAAAGGUGCUUGAGACUAGAGGUGAUCAAGGGCCGGGUUAGGCCCGGUCUAGAAAAAAAUUUAGGCCCAUUUUUUAGGCCUGAAUUCGGCUCGGCUCAAAAUAUGAGCUUAAAAAUUUGUCUAAAUUCGGUCCGAAAGAAAAUUGUUAAGCCCAAGCCUGACCCAUAUUAAAUUUUACAACACCAAAAAAGUAUAUUUAAAUAAAAAUAAAAAAUAUAUAUUUAAUAUAUAAUUCGGGCCGGGCAGAACUCUGGCAAAAAAAAUUUUACUCGGGGCUGGUCUGUUUUCUAAACAGACUUCGUUUUUUUGCCAAAAUCUAUAUUUUAGGCAUAUAUUUUUACCCGAAUCUUCCUAUAUUUUGGGGUGAGCCGUCGGGCCAGACUGGGUAGCCGAACCAAUGAUCACCUCUACUUGAGACAACAGGGUUUUGCAGGGAAUUCUUACAGGUUCGUUUCUGGUGACAUAAAAGAGCUCUUCACUAUAAGCAUACAAACAAGAGCCAAAACUAUGCCUCUUAGUGAUGAUAUUGGGCCUUAUGUUGUUCCUUUUCAACAUCAAACCGUCAACCAGUAUGGUAUGUUUUUUUAUUUAAUCUGCAAUUUAUGAUAAUUCUUUGUUAUUUAUGUAUGGAAUUUAUUGGGAGGAAAUGCUGGAAAGAAUUCAUUUACAAGAAUUGGUCCAAGAUCAAGGGUGAACAUUACGGACCCUGAAAAAUAAGAGAAAUACUUAACAAAUUUAAUGACUUCCAGAAGGUACGUACCAAUCCACUGCUUAAUUUGCUUGUAAGCGGCCUCGUUAACCUCGAAGGAGACCGAUGGAGCAAGCAUAGAAAAAUCAUAACCCUUGCAUUUCAUCAAGAUAAGUUGAAGGUAUAGAAUAGUAAUGGGUACUCAAGACUUUAAAGAAAACAUCAUACUUAAGCCUAUGCUUUUCUGAUUUAGACAUAAUUGGAUGCAGAAUAUGUUGCCAGCAUUUUAUCAAAGUUGUAGUGACAUGUUUAAGCAAAUGGGAGAAGAUGGUGUGUACAGAAGGAUACAUUGAGUUAGAUGUGUGGCCUUAUCUCGUAGAUUUGACAAGAGAUGUGAUUUCCCGAUCUGCUUUUGGAAGCAGCUUCGAAGAAGGCAAACGAAUUUUCCAAUUACUAGAGGACCAACUCGUUGUUACAAUCAAAUUAAUACAAACUGUUUACAUUCCAGGAUGGAGGUAACCGUCUACUUAAUUUACUUGAAAAAGGUUGCAAAUGUUGGAAUUGGCUAAAUUCGUGUUUGUUUUCUUGAAGGUUUUUGCCCACAAAGACAAACAGGGAGGUGAAGAUGAAACACAAAGACAUAAAAGAGUCGCUCAGGGAAAUGAUAAAAAGAAGAGAGCAGGCAAUUAAAGCAGGGGAAGAGAGUAAUGAGGACUUGUUGGACAUACUUGUGGAAUCCAAUAUCAGAGAAAUGGAAGCAAAGAAUAUGGGGAUGAGCAUUGAGGAUGUGAUUGAGGAAUGCAAGCUGUUUUACUUUGCUGGCCAGGAGACCACUUCGGUCUUACUCGUGUGGACUAUGGUUUUAUUAGCAAGGUAUCCCGAUUGGCAAAGUAAAGCAAGAGAGGAGGUUUUGCAUGUUUUGGGUGACAGUAAACCUGAUGCUGAUGGCCUUAAUCGUCUCAAAGUUGUAAGUCCCUAUCAUGUCUCUUGAAGGCCCGAUCUCUGAGGUCGACAACUCAAAAACUUGGUUCUUUGUUUCGCUAAUUCUACAGUUAACAAUGAUAUUGUACGAGGUUCUAAGGCUGUACCCACCAGUGAUUGAGCUAGGACGUUCCGUUCCAAAAGAAAUAAAACUGGGAAAUUUGUUGUUACCAGCAGGAACAGACGUUUCGGUUCCAAUCCUGCAGAUCCACCAUGACAAAGAUCUUUGGGGCGACACCGCACGGGAAUUUAAGCCACAGCGGUUCACGGAAGGGGUUUCCUAAGCAACAAAGAGUCAAGUCACGUUUCUGCCAUUCGGAUGGGGUCCUAGGAUCUGCAUUGGCCAAAACUUUGCCAUGAUGGAAGCUAAAAUGGCGAUGGCUAUGAUUCUCCAACGCUUCUGGUUUGAGCUUUCCCCUUCCUAUGCUUACUCUCCUUACAACAUGGCAACUCUUCGUCCACAGCAUGGUGCACAGAUAAUUUUACAUAAACUUGGCUGUAAUUAAAUUGUUAUGUAAGCAAAUCUUUGUGAAAAUAUAGUGUUUUAGUGUAUCGUCAAAGUCUGUCUGUAAUGGUACAAUUCCGAUGCAUGAAUAGUAAAUUUUGAGAUGUUUGGUGAAGUCCGAAAUAAUAUGCAGAAAUUGAGUGUCUAUGGUGGACAUAGUUGAGGGACUAAUGUGGUAAUUAUCAAUCAAAUAAUUCGGUACAAAGACUUAUAUGGAAAUUAAAGCAGGGGGAGUUGAAAAUGACUACUCUGCUUUGGGCAUCAAUUUAGAAAGAUUUAAAGUACAAAUGUGUUAUUAGUUAAGGGAUUUGUUUUAAAGAGGGAAUGACAAUUAAACCUCAUGGUUGAUUUGUGGAAGGGAACCAAUGAUGGGAUGAUUACUCUUAGUGGUGAAAAAAAAACUAUUAAGGUGGUUAUUAUAGUUGUUAUCACCAGCCUAAAAUUUGAAUAGGUUCAGGUCGGAUUAUAUUGAGCAUGCAAGAUUAGUUCACGGACCAAACUUGUAUGAUAAUAGGUAUUCACAAAAAGAUAUCUAUAGUUUCCAACAAAGUCACAUGUGAGAUCGUGCAUUAGAACCGCAUAAACAUGUUUUAUGUUUAGAAUAUGAUAUGUGUCUAUGUGUAUAGAAUCUACCUAAUAUAUCAUAUUAAUGAAUAGUAUCAAUUGCGGAGCCAAAAAAUUAUUUGUGAGGGGUCAGAAUUAAAUUGUAUAUUUUUACAAAAAUAAAAAUUAAAUUUCACUAUUUUAAUAGUUUAUUUAUUUUUAAUUUUUAAAUGAUUAAAUUAAAUUUUAUAAAUUUUUAGGAUCAAAGUAUAAUUUUAUCAUUACUAAUUUAAAAUUUUAUAAAUUAUAAAAAGUUUAUAUGAAAAGUUUUCUAUUUUAGGGUGGCCAAAGCCCCUGCCAACUUCUGACUCGAUCACUUGCGGUUAGUUGGGUAAAGACUCAAGAAAAAUAGCGGUGUGUUUGGAUGGACAGUGUGUUUACUUGCGGUUAGUGUAAAAAUAGCAGUGGCGGUGAGAUUAGAUACUAUAGCAACACUGUAGCGUGAGACAAAAAGUAAGUUAAACGCACUGCACUGCACUUAAUCGUCUAUCUAAACUCACCAUAAGUGUCUAAAAUAUGAUUUAAGUGAAGAUACGUGGGGUAGGUGUCAUGGAAAUGUAAAAAAAAAAGAAUCCCACUAAUGUAUGGGAUGUGUACAAUUGAAUGCAGGAGUGAAUCAUUUGGGUAACAUUUGGACAAGAAACAUAAUGAACAAAAUGAAAGGAGAGGAAGCUAGUAAUAAAAGAUUCUUUUGGGUUAUAUAAUUUGUUUGGCAUAUAUUUUUAUAAUAUUUAAAUAUCAUUUUGGAGUUGUUGAAUUAUAAUUUCUUUUUAUGUUUUAAAACAUAGUUAUUCUAUUUUUAGAGGUCAGAGUAGAGGUGAGCAUGAGUCGGGCUACUCGGCUCGGGCCGAAGGCUUGCGCAAAAUGUGAGAGAUUUGGGUAAAAAUAUAGGCCCGAAAAAUGAGUUUAGACAAAAAAAAUAUAAGGCCCGUUGAAAAAACAGGCUAGGCCUUGGGUAAGGCAUUUUGGCCCCAGACCCGGCCCAACCCAAAUUCACUAAGGGCACGUUUGGUUCGCUGUAUUGGAAUAGAGGCGUAAUGUAAUAGAUGCGUAAUGGAAUAGAGACGUAAUAGCAAAUCAAUUGUUUGGUUGAAUGUAAUGGAAUAGAGGCGUAAUAGUAUUCUUAUAUUUGGUUGAAUGGAAUAGAGGUGUAACAGCAUAAGGAAAAAAGUUAAAAUGACUAGAAUACCCUUAGCAGAAAUUUGUUUAGAUAAAUGAUUAUUGUUAUUGUUAUUAAAUUUUAAUAAGAUUAUUAAUAUCAGUAAUAAAUAAUUUAAUCAUAUUUUAACAUAAUUAUUAUUAAAUAUAAUUUAAUAAAAAUAUAUAAUUUAAUAAAAUUCUUAAUAUUAAAUAAAAUUCUUAAUAUUAAAUAUUCUUAAUAUUAAAUUACUAAAAUCAUAAUAUAUAAUACUAUAAAAUAUAAUUUAAAUAAUUAUUAUUAAAUAUAAUUUAAUAAAAAUAUAUAAUUUAAUAAAAUUCUCAAUAUUAAAUAUAUUCUUAUAUGAAUUUACUAAAAUCAUAAUAUAUAAUACUAUAAAAUAUAAUUUAAAAUAAUUAUUAUUAAAUAUAAUUUAAUAAAAAAUAUAUAAUUUAAUCUAAAGUUUGAAUGUGUAUUUACCUAGCAAAAAUCAAUGAACUCUCGUGUAACUAUAACCUUAAUAAUAUAUGAUGUAUAAUUAAUAUUUCGUGACUAAUUAAUAGCAUAGAGAUAAAUACAGUAAUGACGAAUUUAUAGUAUACGAUUAAAAUGCUAAUAAUUUAUAGUAUACAAUUAAAAUAUUAUAAAUAAAAUAAUAGUAAAUGAUAUAUAAGAUAAAUUAACAUAUAAAUAAUUCAGAUAUGUAAAGAAUAUGGCUGAAUAUGGUUGCUCCAAUAAUAAAGGAUAUAUAAUAUAUCAUGGUGUUGUUUUGUUUAGAUAGUUCGGUAACUUAGGAGGGUAUGUAUGAAGAACACAAGUUGAUGCAGAUAGAAAGACGACAAUAUUACAUGAUUACAAUAUGAUAUAGUAUAUAUAUAUAAUUUAUGGAUUCCUUGCAAUCACGUGGCUUCUCUAGCCAUUUUAUUUAGCAUAUCCAGUGAUAUUAAGAUCCAGAAUUAUAAUACAACUAAAAUCUGUGCACACUUAUGGAUGAUCCAACAAAGCCUCAGUUGGCUUUAGGUUCCAAAUCUUGCAACCCACAAACCAUAUUUGCUGGCACUGCAACAUCAAUCAUCUUAGGAUAUGCCAAGUUAAGAUCUGUUGCACCAACAAAAACAGAGGAGAAAUUAGAAGGCGAUCCGAAAAAACCCAAGGAUGCUUUUUCUUUUCUUUUUUUUUAUAAUCUUUAUAGACUAGUUAUAUUGAGCAUCAACUUACUUUCCAUGAUGUUUUUGAAAGUCUCUUACAAAAAGGGUAUUCAACAAAUAAUAUAAUCAGACAUAUUGAUAGGACAAAUUGAAACUAGUAUUCUAUGAUCAUAAUAAAGAGUAAUCUUUAAUCAAAUGCGUGAAGGUAUUGAGAUGUCAUGCUUUUUCAUGAUUUCCUGUUUUACCAUGGCGAUGUUCAUUGGAAUAGUCCCAUCCAAGAGAAUCAAACCAAUGCUCAGCAAGAAAUGUUCAAUGCAUAUGUAAUUUUAAUUACAGAAGUUAUAUGCAGCUUAUAUGAGUUCAAGAUCAUAAAAGACUUCAUGGACAAAAGGAAACCCUUUCUUAUCACUGAAAUGAAAAUAGGCACUCUUAAUUUUCUAUUGUCAAAAGUAGCAAGCCAUUUUCCAAAGAAAAGGGAAGAUGGAUGGUUCCAGAAAGAAUACCUCAUCCUUUGUCAAGUGUGGAUUAUAUAGCAUCUCCUCUCCCACAGUGGUUACCNNNNNNNNNNNNNNNNNNNNNNNNNNNNNNNNNNNNNNNNNNNNNNNNNNNNNNNNNNNNNNNNNNNNNNNNNNNNNNNNNNNNNNNNNNNNNNNNNNNNAAAUCGAGCAAUCAUUUAUAUAUGUAAGAAAUGAUAGGAAUAAAGUUUUAUAUCUUACUGAGAAUCCUUUGUAGUCAUGAGUUGGAUAUAGCAAUGUCUCUUUCGGUAAUGUAAAAAUCUGGAUCCAUGAAACAAAUAAGUCCAUAAAUUUUAUUCAAAUUUUGACAAUUACAAUAAAAUUUUGAGAACUCAAAGAAUGUGACCAUAAAAAGUCCCCUGUCCUUACCUGUGAAUGCACUGACUUGUAGAGUUGCUGUGAACUUCCACCCUGCAAAAUGCAUUAAUCAGUGCUAGUCAAUGGCUACUGAAUGUGGGAGCAUUAGAGAAAAUUAUCUUAAAAACUUAAGUAUAACAAAAUUAGACAAUGACAUCCAGAUGGAAAGAAAUUGCCAGCAUAUAAGACCAGCAUUUAUGUACUCACGACUGAAAAUCCUUUGCAAAAAGUAUAGCCCUGAUAGUUCAAACUUUUACUUCAAGGAUGAUUUAAUUACUGAUUAGUUUACCAUGAGGCUUGUGAAUGACAAACACUUUAUGUGCAACCACAGUAACAAGGUAAGCACCAAUAAGUAGAAAACUAGACGAAUAGGUAACCAAGAGUUAGAGCUAAAACAGACAAACAGAGCUACUAUCCAAUGAGCUAAAACAUACAAACAGAGGUAUAUUUUAACAAUGAAAAUAAUCGAUUGCCUUAAACACCAUAUAGUGUUCCAAUCAAUCAAAUUAUAGCAGGCAUUAAAACCUUUCCCUUUCGUUAAUUCACAACUAUUAGCUUCAUUAAUCAAAUCCUAUGUACAGUUGAUCGAUUGAAAGUGUAACAUUUCAAAGACGAAAUUUAAACACAAAACUGGUUAACAUUGAAAUUACAUGUAAAUAUAACCUAAAAAACCAAAAAAUUAAUCAUAUUUUCAGAUUUCAGGCCGAAAUGGAAUGAAAUGAAAGGUAAAUCCAUUUUUUCCUCAAAAAAACAAAAAUAAAGAAAUAAUAUUUCAAGAACAGAUCAUUAAAUUCAUGGUAUAUAUAAAGAAAUUUAAUUGAAAUCAAAGGAAUAGAAGAAGGGAAAAGCGUACUUGGAACCAUUGCUGCUACUCUCUGUUACUCUGUUACCUCAUACGAUUCGUUAAAGGGUUGUUAGGGUUUGUUAAAGGGUUGGUCAGGAUAGAAGCAUGAAAAGGAGGGAGAAGGUUGGAAGGAAAUGGGAAGAAAAAUGAAAAAAAGAAGAAGAUGCUGCAACGGCUUGGAGGGUAAAAGAGGACCGAUUAGGUAAUCCUUUCUUUUCGAAGGGAUUACAAAUCGGCGCUGCAUAAGGGAAAAUGGGGAAUCGGUGCGCUGCGUAAUAGGCCCGUAUUAAGGCAAUACAGCCAACCAAACAGGGUAAUCAGUGGGGCCACGGAUUAGGGGUGUAUUGGCUAAUCCAAUACACCCAACCAAACAUGCUCUAAAGGACAAAAAAAUUUGAUUUUUUAAAUAUUAUUUUCUCUCUAUUUUGCUAUCAUUUUACUAUUAUGUUGCUACUAUGUUAUUGUUAUUUUUGGAUAUUGUAUAAAACUUAUUUUAUUGUUAAUUUUGUUAUUAUUUUAAAGACAUUUGUUAAUUUUGUUAUUAUUUUAGAGACAUUUGCUUGUUAAGUUGCAUCUAUCUUAGUGUUAUUUAAGUAUACAUAUUUUUUAAAAUUUAUUUUCAAUUUAUUGGGAAAUAUUUAUUUUGAUGUUUUUAGUAUUUUGGGUGUAUUAUAUAUAUUAAAAUUAUAUAAAAAUUAAUAUGGCCGAGCCGAGUCAGGUCCAGAUUUUAGCAUUUUUAUUCAGGUCGGGCUUGAGCAAAAUUUUAAGCCCAUUUUUUGGGCCAAACCAGGCCUGGGCUUAGCAAAUGGGCCUAAAUUUUUAGUCAAGCCCGACCUAAACCCGAUCCGGCCCAUGCUCACCUCUAGAUCAGAGCUGCCCUCGCUUUGCAUUUCUUUGAGAUUCAGUCUUAUCUACUGUUGAUUGCCCACUCAAUUGAGGGUUGAGUAGAAAGAUUUGGUGAAGCAAGCUAAGCUAUCAAUCAAGGUUGGAGAAAGCUUAGGAGGUCACAAUGCAUAAUUAUUUAAAUGUAAUUCUAAUAUUUAAAUAAAAUUUAUUAAUAUAGUAUUAACAAGCCCUAAAUGUAAUGAUUAUAUACUAUUACAUUUUUAAGAAGAGAAAACAUGUUUGAACCUUAAAAACAUCAUUAUUAAAAAUGAUAAUUAAAAAUUUUAAAAUAUAAAAAAUAUAAUUAAAAAUUAAUUUUAAACCCGAGCUGGAUAAAAUUCUAAUUUUAGAUAACGAUACUAAUAAGAAAUCAAUAUUAAAAUGAAAAUGAAAAGUAAUUUAAUAUAAUUUUUGAGUCUUGGGCAAAGGCACUCAAUGAAUGCUUGGAAAGAAAUAAUGCAACUUGGUGAUAGCUUUUGUUGGAGUAAUAUGCUCUUAUUAUAGUUUUAUGUUUUUAUCUUGCAAAAACAACAUAUUGGAGUUUUCGGCAUGAUUUUUUCUUAAUACUUUACAUGAAAAAUAAUAAUGGGACUUAAAAAUCUAUCAAAAGCUUCACCAUAAUAAUAAUAAUAAUAAUAAUAAUAAUAAUAAUAAUAAUAAUAAUAAUAAAUUGCUACAAUAUUACAACACAAAGUUACAAUAAGAGCUUAUAACUCAACAAAGGCUAUCAAUAAAUAAUCUCAGGCAAGCUAAAGAGAAAUGUUGAGAAUACCACCCGAAUAGUGACUGACUUUAAAAGUUGAAAACCCAAAGCUAUAGUAUCUCAAACUAAAUCAAACCAUAAACAUUAAAAUUUUCAAGUCUACUAGCUACUGUAAAAAAUACAGCUCCAACAGACACCAAAUGAGUCUUUGAUCGAAGAAAGUACAAAAACUAGUCUGGGUAAACCAAGCUGCCAAACUUACUUAUCUUAUCUUUAAUUUUGCAGUGAAAUUAAAAACUAAGUUUUUGUUUAUUUCACUUGGAACAACUUUCAAAAAAUUAUUUUUGAAAAAUGGAUUGGUUUUUCGAAAUAAAUGAUAUUUUAUUGUGUUAAAAUUUUAUUCGUUGUUGGAAAACUUUUUUUAAAUCAUUUUCUUAAAGUUAUUUUUAGUGAAACAAACAUAACAUAAAUAUAUUUGUUACAAAAAAUUAUACUAGUAAUUUCUUUUGACAAUUAAAAUUUAUUUUAUGGUAAGACAAUAUUUUAUAAUAAUUAAUAUCAUAUAUAUACGUAAUAAAAAUCAUGUUUAAUUAAAAUUUAAUUAAAAUUAGAUGUAUUAAUAAAGCUACUCCUCCACAACCCGCAUCCGCAACAGCACCAGCACCAGCACCAGCACCAGCAUCAGCACCAUGGGACAACUAUUGGGUUUCCUCCACCUGCCUCUAUCGCUCCUCCUCAGUAUUACCCCUAAGCCUACCAGACCGUGCCGGGUAUUCUACAAAUAUGAAAAAACCUUCUUCUCUUUUUAUUAGCUUAUCGAAAUGAAGGAUUUUGAGAUUUGGGCUUUUGUUAGAUGGAUGGUUAAUGAUAUUUUUUAGAUGAAAGAUACAAGUUUUUUAAUGUUUUAGAAGAAAAGGUGUUUAAAUAUUAGGAGUUUUUUAGCAGAGAAAGAAGAUAAAUAAAUGCAUAGAGAUACAUUAGCAAUAUUAUUUGGAUUUGGUUGUCUAAUGUAAUGAAGAAUUUUUUAAGGGUGACCUGAGUAGGUGUGGCAAGAUUCAAAGUUUUUUCUAUUAUAGCAGAUAUAUAUAUAUUAAUGGUUUAAGAAGACUAGAAGUCGGUUUCAAAGGAAGAUGAGAAAUAAAAGCAUUUAUAUAUAUGAUAUGUCAUUAAUUCAUAAACCAAAUAUAUAAAGUAUGUAAAAGUGUCAGGGGUUAAUCAUGGUGUUUUGACAAUCCGGUAACCUUCAACUUGAAGAAAACCUUAGGUUUCAAAAAUUUAUGUGAAGAGUUAGAAUGGUAUGCUUCAUGGAUCUGAAUAACUAGAACAGUGUAAGAGUGGUAUAUUGUGUCAAGUUUGGUUUCUUGUAUAUAAUUGUAUCGAAAACAAUGUUACAUGAGUUAAAAUGAAUGUUCAUCCAAUUUAACAAAGCCUGCAUUAUGUUGAUCAAAAUUUUUAAUUCAUGUUGAGGUUUCUUCCGUGAUAUCUUUGAUGUCAAGGUUAUGAUGUUGCUGAAGGGACACCUGUAAGAGAUAAGCUACGGUGCUGUGGCAUUGGAUUCGGAUGGUUCUUGUAAGUGUACAUAGUUUUCUUUGUUUUUAAAGAGUUCUUUACAUAUGAAGUAAAACAAGUAGCGACUUGAUGGAUAUGUCAUUAAGCUUUAACUUAAGCAAAUCAUUUUCCUUCAUCUCUAAUUGCCAUUUCUUUAAAAGAAAAAGAGGAAGUUUUGUAGUUUACAGUUUGGACAAAUGGAAGUUAAUAUAAUGCACUAUUUGGAUGGACUAUGGAGAUAUCCAAUCAUAUUGGAUGAGUUAUAAGAAACCUGUGAGUUCAUAUUGGGUUUACUUUAUAUCAUAAUUAGAUUGUUGAGCUGGCUGUCAGACUUAGAUGGUAUUUCACGUUGCUACAUGUUAAACUAUACCACUUUCACAUUCAUACGUGAAAUGGCUGGGAUUUAGUGCCAUUCUACUUAGCAGCCUCGUGUAAUACACAGGUGAAAUGUUUAUGUCUUCAUGUCACCUUAAAGUUCCCAUUUCCAUGACGGUAUUGUUAAGUAAAGACUGGUACAUACCCCAAAAUACGGAAAUUGUUUUGGAUGUAUACUAUACUUUACCAUGCAUGAUUUUUUACAAGUUUGCAUGGUAUUUUAUCAUUAUAUUGGUCUUUAUUUUCUAUACUCGCAGCUUCCAUUAAUAUAUUUUUAUGAAUUUUAUCAUUAUGCUGGUUUGAAGGUUCAUCAUUGGUUUCUUCAUUGGGGGCCAUCCCUGGUAUAUUGGAUUCUUUGUUUUACUUUGUGCAAGGAUAGACGACAGAGAGAAAGCAGGAUAUAUUGCAUGCACAAUUGCCGUGAGUAUCUUUUCUAUCAUUAUUUUUUUCUUUUCCAAUUUUAUGAAAGCCAUCCUUCCUGCCUUGUAUUGAUCAUCAAUUUAACCAUUGUAUAUAUGUAUCUUAUGUAUUUGUACCAUGCUUUAUCUUCAAUGCAAAUAUAAGUUAAACUACAAAGAUUGGAUUGUUAAAAAAAGUUUAAAAUGUUAAAAAAAUUGAAAAUUUUGAUUUUGUAAGAAUGAUAGAAAACCAAGGCCAGUGCUUGCAUAUGUUAUCUACUACAUGCACAAUCGGGUCGAUGUCUGUAUAUGUUUCAUGUUUAGAAAUCGUGUUCAAUUGGGUUACGAUAUGUACAAUUGAAGUGUCAAUUUAUAAUUUCCUUAUCAAGAUUACACAUUUUUUUGUUAAUAUUCGGAAUCACUCAAUGGUUAUAAACCCUGAUUGGAUACUGUCCACAAAGUCUAGUUGGAACAUCCCUUGUAUUCUUUGUCCUUUCUAAGAACUUUCCUUUCCAUCAUUCUCGCUUCUGUUUUUUUUUUCUUCCCUCUACUUUAAGUCAUUAUCUAACGUAGAUAUCCCUUGUAUUCUUUGUCCUUUCUAUGGCAAUCGAGUCAAUUGAUGGCAAGCCAAAAAAACAAAAAGAACAGCUAUCCUGUCUUACUCGAUUGCCAUCCCUCCUGUUAAACACCAUUAAGAAAAGGAAAAUUUUAGUUAAGCUUUAAAACAGCCAUGUUUUAACGAUGUUGGUGAUGGUGCUUGUGCAGGCCCUUCUUGCUACAAUUACAAUUAUUCUUAGUGCAACAAUUAAAGCUGGUGGGUGAUAAAGCACACCUCUUUUGACUGAGAGAUGUAUAGGUUCCCAAAUAAUAUGUAUAUGCUCCCCCCCCCCUCCCUUUAUUUUAUUUUAUUUCCAGUAAGUUAUUGUUUAUGAUAAUUUGCAACAAAUGUUUUUGUCAUUAUUUUGUUGGUGAAUGAUAAUAAGAUUAAGCUUUACUUUCUUAAGCUCCAAUUCCUUGGACGUUGGUGAUUUUUUUAUUAUAGUUGAGUCCUUGUAUGGUAUUAAUAUAAUUUAUGUCGCUUAAAAUUUAUAACUAAAAAUAUAAAAUUUAAAUUUUACUUCAAUUUAUUUGUAUUUAUAAAUGGUUAAUUCAAACUUAUUUUUUUCCUCAUUAUAUUUUAUAUUUAAAUUAACAUUUAAACUAUUUUUCAUUAGCAAUGUUGUUAAGAAUUAUAUUUUUUAGCACCAACAUCAAACUUACUAAAAUUAAAUUUUUAACUAUUUUAAAAAAAAUAUUUUUAGCUAUUUAUCAUCAUAGAGAAAAAAAGGUGACGUCACCACGCCUCAUGCUUCGACACCACAAACUAGACUCUCAUCACCUGUAUUUAUCAUCGAUUCAAAUUCCAGAACUACCUAAAAAUAUAUCUUCAAACUUCCUCUGGUUAAGUUCAUUGAUAGUCAACUUACUAUUAUUUCUAAAAAAAAAAACAAAUAAAUUGGUUAAUAGUAAUCUCAAUGAUUCAAUUUUAUUCUUACCAAUAUCUGUCCUUUAGAAAGGGGCUUAUAAAAGGGAUAGAGGUGAGUAAACUUGAGCUUCAGCUUUCCACAAACACCUUAAUUUGAAGACACAGUUCUCUCAUACUAAAAAAGACAUGGAAGUUUACCUUGUAAUUAGAGAUUUGGUUUCAUUGCUUGUUGUUGGGUUAUUAAUGAUAUGGGGAUGCAGAACUUUAAACUGGGUAUGGCUGGCCCCAAAAAGGCUCGAAAGCUGCUUGAGACAACAGGGUUUUGCAGGGAAUCCUUACAGGUUCCUUUCUGGUGACAUAAAAGAGCUCUCAACUAUGAGCAGACAAACAAGAGCCAAACCUAUGCCUCUUAGUGAUGAUAUUGGGCCUUAUGUUGUUCCUUUUCAACAUCAAACUGCUAACCAGUAUGGUAUGCUUUUUUUGUUUAAUCUGCAAUUUAUGAUAAUUCUUUGUUAUUUAUGUAUGGAAUUUAUUGGGAGGAAAUGCAGGAAAGAAUUCAUUUACGUGGUUUGGUCCAAGACCAAGGGUGAACAUUACGGACCCUGAAAAAAUAAGAGAAAUACUUAACAAAUUUAAUGACUUCCAGAAGAUACAUACCAAUCCACUGCUUAAUUUGCUUGUAAGCGGCCUUGCUAACCUCGACGGAGACCGAUGGAGCAAGCGUAGAAAAAUCAUAAACCCUGCAUUUCAUCAAGAUAAGUUGAAGGUAUAGAAUAGUGAUGGGUAAUCAGACUUUACAGAAAACAUCAUACUUAAACCUAUGCUUUCCUGAUUUAGAAAUAAUUGGAUGCAGAAUAUGUUGCCAGCAUUUUAUCAAAGUUGUAGUGACAUGUUAAGCAAAUGGGAGAAGAUGGUGUGUACAAAAGGAUACAGUGAGUUAGAUGUGUGGCCUUAUCUCGUAGAUUUGACAAGAGAUGUGAUUUCCCGAUCUGCUUUUGGAAGCAGCUUCGAAGAAGGCAAACGAAUUUUCCAAUUACUAGAGGACCAACUCGUUCACAUAAUCAAAUUAAUACAAACUGUUUACAUUCCAGGAUGGAGGUAACCCUCAACUUAAUUUACUUGAAAAAGGUUGCAAAUGUUGGAAUUGGCUAAAUUCGUGUUUGUUUUCUUGAAGGUUUUCGCCAACGAAGACAAACAGGGAGAUGAAGAUGAAACACAGGGACAUAAAAGAGUUGCUUAUGGAAAUGAUAAAGAGAAGGGAGAAGGCAAUUAAAGCAGGGGAAGAGAGCAAUGAGGACUUGUUGGACAUACUUGUGGAAUCCAAUAUCAGAGAAAUGGAAGCAAAGAAUAUGGGGAUGAGCAUUGAGGAUGUGAUUGAGGAAUGCAAGCUGUUUUACUUAGCUGGCCAAGAGACCACUUCGGUCUUACUGGUGUGGACUAUGGUUUUAUUAGCAAGGUAUCCCGAUUGGCAAAGUAAAGCAAGAGAGGAGGUUUUGCAUGUUUUGGGUGACAGUAAACCUGACGCUGAUGGCCUUAAUCGUCUCAAAGUUGUAAGUCCCUAGCAUGUCUUUUGAAGGUCCGAUCAAUGAGGUCGACAACUCAAAAACUUUGUUUCUUUUUUCGCUAAUUCUACAGGUAACAAUGAUAUUGUACGAGGUUCUAAGGCUGUACCCACCGGUGGUUGAGCUAGAACGUUCCGUUCCAAAAGAAAUAAAACUGGGGAAUUUGUUGUUACCAGUAGGAACAGAAGUUUCGGUUCCGAUCCUGCUGAUCCACCAUGACAAAGAUCUUUGGGGCGAUGACGCACGGGAAUUUAAGCCAGAGCGGUUCGCGGAAGGGGUUUCCAAAGCAACAAAGAGUCAAGUCACGUUUCUGCCAUUCGGAUGGGGUCCUAGGAUCUGUAUUGGCCAAAAUUUUGCUAUGAUGGAAGCCAAAAUGGCGAUGGCUAUGAUUCUCCAACGCUUCUGGUUCGAGCUUUCCCCUUCCUAUGCUCACUCUCCUUACGGCAGGGCAACUCUUCGUCCACAGCAUGGUGCACAGAUAAUUUUACAUAAACUUGGCUGUAAUUGAAUUGUUAUGUAAACAAAUCUUUGUGAAAACAUAGCGUUUUAGUUUAUCGUCAAAGUCCGGUGUCUGUAAUGGUACAAAUUCGAUGCAUGAAUAGUAAAGUUUGAGAUGUUUGGUGAAGUCCGAAAUAAUAUGCAGAAAUUGAGUGUGGUAAUUAUCAAUCAAAUAAUUCGGUACAAAGACUUAUAUGGAAAUUAAAGCAGGGGGAGUUGAAAAUGACUACUCUGCUUUGGGCAUCAAUUUAGAAAGAUUUAAAGUACAAAUGUGUUAUUAGUUAAGGGAUUUGUUUUAAAGAGGGAAUGACAAUUAAACCUCAUGGUUGAUUUGUGGAAGGGAACCGAUGAUGGGAUGAUUAUUCUUAGUGGUAAAAAAAACUAUUGUGGAGGUUAUUAUACUUGUUAUCAUCGGCUUAAAAUUCGAAUGGGUUCAAGUCGGAUUAUAUCGAGCUUGUAAGAUGAGUUCACGGAUCAAGUUUGCAUAAUAAAAAUACUUAAAUGAAAAAAUUUCUAUUUUAGAGGGACCAGAGCCCCUACCAACUCCCGGCUCAGCUACUAAACAAUACCCAUAUCAUAUAAAUAAAUACCACAUAAAAAAAACUCAAAGAAAAACACUGACAAAUGAUAAAUAGAUAGAUGUUGGAUAAGUGUCCAAAAUAUGAUUUAAGUGAAGAUACAUGGGGUAGGUGUCACGGAAAUGUGAAUACAAGAAUACUACUAAUGGGAUGUGUACAGUUGAAUGUAGGGAGCAAAAAGAGGAGUGAAUCAUUUUGGUAACAUUGGGACAAGAAACAUAAUGAACAAAAUGGAAGCAGAGGAAGCUAGUAAAAGAAAUUUUUUGGGUCAUAUAAUUUGUUUGGCAUAUAUUUUUAUAAUUUUUAAAUAUCAUUUUGGACUUGAAUUAUAAUUUUUUUAUAUAUUAUCUUAAAAUUGUAUAAAUUUUAAGGAGUUAAAACAAAAUUAUUCUAUUUUUAGAUGGUUAAAGUAGAGAUGAUAAUGGGUUGAGCUAUUCGGCCCAGCCUGACGAUCCACCCGAAAAAUAGGAAGGUUUGGGUAAAAAUAUAGGCUCGAAAUAUGAAUUUGAGCAAAAAAAGAGGCCCGUUUAGAAAAUAGGCCGGGCCUCAGGUAAAACCUUUUGGGCCCAGACCUGACCUAAAUUAUAUAUUAAAUAUAUAUAUUUUUAUUUUUAAUCAAAUAUACUUUUGUUUUAUUAUUAAUUUGGUUAUUAUUUUAGUUCUAAUUUGUUUCAAUUUUAAUAUAACUACUUUUUAUUAUAUUUUCAAUUUGUGUAUUGUUUUAAGAAUUAUUUUAGUCUCAUUAUUUAUUUAUUUUUUAUUUUAAUAUUUGUUUUAAAAUUUUUUAUUUAUUGAAAUAAGCUAAAAAAAUUAAUAUGGGUUGGACCAGACCGGGCUCGGGCCUAGUAAUUUUCUUUUGGGCCGGACUUAAACAAAUUUUUAAGCCCAUAUUUUGAAUUGGGUCCUACACUAGAAAAUGGACCUAAAAUUUUGUAUUACCUUUAGGUCAGAGCUAUCCUCGUUUUGCAUUUCUUUGAGAUUCAGCCUUAUUUACUUUUGAUUGCCACUCAAUAGAGGGUUGAGUAGAAAUAUUUGGUGAAGCAAGCUAAGCUAUCAAUCAAGGUGUGCAUAAUUAUUUAAAUGUAAUUCUAAUAUUAAAAUAAAAUUUUUAUUAAUAUAGUAUCAACAAGCAUUAAAUGUAAUCAUCAUAUACUAUUAAAUUUUCAAUAAGAGAAAACAUGCUUGAACUUUAAAAACGAUGUUACUAAAAACAUUAUCACAAAUCUUGAAAUAUAAAAAAUAUUUUUUAAUAUAAUAAAAAAUAAUUUUAAACCCGAGAUGAAUAAAAUUCUAAUUUUAAUUAAUGAUACCAACAACAAAUCAAUAUUUAAAUUAAAAUUUAUCUUAAUUUAAUAUAAUAAAAUUGGACCUGAAUAUUGAAUUUUUGAGUCUUGGGCAAAGUAGAGGUGCUCAUGGGCCGGGCUGGGUCGGGUUUGGGAAAAAUUUCGGCCCGCAUCCUAGGCUCGGGCUCGGCCCGACCCAAAUAUGGGCCUAAAAUUUUGUCUAGGCCUAGCCCGACCCGGCCCGACUUAUUUUUUUUAAUAAACACCAACAAUUUAUUUUGAAAAUAAAAAAAUAAAAAAAGUAUUUUAAAAAUAUUUUAAAAUUUUUAAAAAAUAUAUAUAUUUAUUAUAUAUUCGGGCCGGGCCAGGCCCGAGCCAAAAAAGUGGCGCCCAAGGCCCGGCCUGUUUUCUAAACGGGACUCAUUUUUUACCCAAACCCAUAUUUCGGGCCUAUAUUUCUACCCGAAUCUCUCAUAUUUCGGGCGAACCGUCGGGCCAGACCGGGCCGCCCGGCCAUGAACACCUCUAGGACAAAGUCACUCAAUGAAUGCAUGGAAAGAAAUAAUGCAACUUGGUGAUAGCUUUUGUUGGAGUUAUAUGCUUUUUUUUUACGUAGUGGAACUUUCGGUGGAUUUUCAAGUUUCAUGAACUUUAUACCCUAUGCUUUACGUGAAAAAAAAUCAUUGGACUUAAAAGUCUGCCAAAAGUUUCACUAUAAUAAAUAAAUAAAUAACAUUGCUACAAGACUUCAACAUAAAGUUACAAUAAGAGCUUAUAACUCAACAAAGGCUAUCAAUAAAUAAUCUCAAACAAAUUAAAGAGAAAUGUUGAGAGUACCACUCGAAUAGUGAUUAACUUUAAAAAUUGAAAACCCAAAGUUAUAAUAUCCCAAACGAAAUCAAACCAUAAACAUUAAAUUUUUCGAGUCUACUAGAUACUGCAAAAAAUUCAGCUCCAACAGACACCAAAUGAACCUAUGAUCGAAGAAAAUACGAAAAUUAGUCUAGCUAAAUCAAGCUGCCAAACUUACUUUUUAUCUUAUCUUUAAUUUGCUGUGAAAUUCAAAACUAAGGUUUUGUACUUAGAACAACUUUCAAAAAGUUAAUUUUGAAAAAUGGAUUGAAUUUUCAAAAUAGAUGAUAUUUUAUUGUGUUAAAAUUUUAUUCGUUGUUUGAAAAAAAAUUUAAAUCAUUUUCUUAGAAUUAUUUUUAGUGAAACAAACAUAUCAUAAAUAUAUUUGUUAUAAAAUAUUUAUAUUAAUAUUUUCUUUUAACAAUUAAAAUAUAUUUUGUGAUAAGGUAUAUUUUAUAAUAAUUAAUAUCAUAUAUACUUAAUAAUAAAUCAUGUCUAAUUAAAAUUUAAUUUCAAUUAAAUAUAUUAAUAAAGCUACAUAUAAUCAUAUUUUAUAUAAUAAAAAUAUUAAUAUAAAUAUUUUUUUAAUAAUAUAUUAAAGAAUAUUUAAAAUUUAAAUUUAUUAUUACUAAGAUUAAUUAUUAAAAUAAAAAUGUAAUAUUAAAUAAUUUAUCCAAUGAUAAGUUAUAUUAAUAAUUUAUUAUAUUAUUAAAUAUAAAUAAUUAAAUAUGUAUGUUUAAUAAUAUUAUGUUAUAAUAUUUAUUAUUAAUAUUUUAAUAUUUUUAAACAACCAUGUUUUAAAGAUGGUGGUGAUGCUGAUGGUGCAGGCCCCCUUGUUACAAUUACAAUAUUUUUAAGUGGGAUGCAUGUAAUAUAUUGUUAGGGUUCUAGAGUGUGUCAUCUUUAAAAGGGUUAAAUUAUAUAUUUAUAUAAUAUGAUUAUUGUUUAUAAACAUAAUAUUGUAGAUAAACUUUUAUGCAUGUCAAUAUGUAUCCUACUCUGGGGUUAAUAUGUAUUUUUAGAUAUGGAUUCACCUAUAUAAUAGUAUGAAUCCAUCAUGCGGUCUCAUGAAAUAUACAAACACAUAUCGUGCGAACACAAAGUACGAACAAUAAAAAGUACAAAUCAAGACCAAUUGAGUAAUUGAAUAACAGAUAGGUAAUAAUGACUAUCCCCUCUUGUUUGAAUUUAUUUUAUUUCCAGUGAGUUAUCGUUUAUGAUAAAUUUACAACAAAUGUUUUUAUCAUUAUUUUGUUGGUAAAUGAUAAUAAGAUUAAACUUUACUUUCUUAAGCUCCUUCAAUUCUUUGGACGUUAGCAAGUAAACUUGAGCUUCAGCAUUCCACAAACACCUUAAUUUGAAGACACAGUUCUCCCAUACUAAAAACAACAUGGACGUUUACCUUGUAAUUAAUGAUACGGGGAUGGAGAGCUUUAAACUGGGUAUGGCUGGCCCCAAAGAGGCUCGAAACGUGCUUGAGACUAGAGGUCCAGGCAAAUUUUUAGGCCCAUUUUUUAGGCUUGGACUGGGCCCGACUCGAAAUAUGAGCUUAAAAAUUUGUCUAAGUUCGGUCCAAAAGAAAAUUGUUAAGCCUAAGCCUGGCCCAUAUUAAAUUUUACAACACCAAAAAACUAUAUAUUUAAUAUAUAUAUUUGAUUAAAAAGUAUAUUUAAUUAAAAAUAAAAAUAUAUAUUUAAUAUAUAAUUCGGGCCGGGCCGAACUCGGGCCAAAAAAGUUUUACUCGGGGCUGGUCCGUUUUCUAAACAGACCUCGUUUCUUUGUCAAAAUCCAUAUUUUAGGCUUAUAUUUUUACCCGAAACUUCCUAUUUUUCGGGUGAGCCGUCAGGCCGGACUGGGUAGCCCAACCAAUGAUCACCUCUACUUGAGACAACAGGGUUUUGCAGGGAAUUCUUACAGGUUCGUUUCUGGCGACAUAAAAGAGCUCUUCACUAUAAGCAUACAAACAAGAGCCAAACCUAUGCCUCUUAGUGAUGAUAUUGGGCCUUAUGUUGUUCCUUUUCAACAUCAAAC